rnacentral:rRNA from 1 species
UACGUAGGGUCCGAGCGUGUCCGGAAUUAUUGGGCGUAAAGAGCUCGUAGGCGGUCUGUCGCGUCUGCUGUGAAAACCCGGGGCUCAACCCCGGGCCCUGCAUUCGAUACGGGCAGACUAGAGUUCGGUAGGGGAGUCUGGAAUUCCUGGUGUAGCGGUGAAAUGCGCAGAUAUCAGGAGGAACACCGGUGGCGAAGGCGGGACUCUGGGCCGAUACUGACGCUGAGGAGCGAAAGCGUGGGGAGCAAACAGG